UUAAGGAAUAAACUGUACUUAUUGGCUAAACCAAAAAUUCUGAAAUUUUUAUGGUAAGAAGAUAUGUGAGUCUAGUUUUAGGGAAAAUUAACGGAUCUUAAUUUGGAGUUCUGUAGCUCAAGAUAUAAAUAAUUUAGUGACUGUGACUCAGUGAGGCAGCUUUGAAUGCACUAUAAAUAAUAAUGGAAUUGAAGAGAAAGUUACAUAUGAACAUGAAAUGUAUUAGAUUAAUGAUUAAAUUUAUUUAUUUAGAUCCGGAAAAUUCAAAUACGAAGCAAGAUCGAGGAAAAGAAAAAGUUCGGGAUUAGUAGAUUUUUGGUUACGAACAAGUGUCGAGAGUUAAGAGCUCGGAAGUCAGAUUUGGUUGGAGACACAUCACACUAUCAAUCUCGAGAUCUCGGUACAUAAAUGGACUUUAUUUUGGAAAUCAAUGGCAUGUAUAAGCUAGUAAAUUAGAUGUUAAUGUGAAAUGAAUGUAUGGUUAGCCAUUGGUGUGGCUAACAAAUUUUGGUUUUGGUAUGUGAUGAAAUUAUCUUAUGAAUAUGAUAAAUCUAUCUUGAAAAAAAAAAUUCGGUAAAA